rnacentral:rRNA from 1 species
AUGUGUUGCACCAACGACACUGACCAAUUCAACGAUGCCCGUGCCAGAGACACCUUCCAGAUCUUCUCUAUCAAAGUCGAAUCCGUAAGAGGGGACUUAAGGUGGCCGCUCAACGUGUUUGACAUGGUCAUUGCUCACGACGUCUUGGACAUUGGUUGCAAGCUCAAUAUCAUCUUCGCUCGCCCAAGGAGUAACCCUCAAACCAUCACGGGGGAGCAUCCAUAUCUAGAACUCACGGGUCCAACCCGUGCCAUCAUGACAUCUGGCGAUCCAGGGAAAAUCGAGAUCGUACUCAAAGUUAAGGGUGCAACUGAAUCUGACAAUAGAGAUCUAUCUUUUGUCUUAGCAUUGAAGAAUCGCAUGUAUUAUUAAUACAACAGAUAUUACACUAGCAAACAUAGCACGCUGGAGCUAACUUUCCGUCACAUUGACAACUCUGUGGACGCAACAAUCGGUGCAUGCCUUAUUGGUGGAUCAUCAUGGCCACAUGGUUUGCAAGGUGUAAUGGCCGCUCGUAUUUCCGAUACGGAAGAUGCCAAAGUUUCUUUGCUUGUUUUUGAGGUAAAUUGCAUGUUGUUGCUGAUGAUGGCAUGA